AUGAAGGGCAAUAUGGCUGCCAGAUCUAUCACCCAUUAAUUCUCCAGUGUCGAUUUUGCUGUCUAACUUGCUAGGUGGGGGUCCCUUUUUUUCCCCUUCAACUGUUGAUCUGUAUCUGUUGCAAGGCUCAAUCAAAAAGAAUGACCUUCUAAUAUAGAGAUGAAUCAUCCUCAGUCAAGGGAACUGAAGUUGUUAAAUUCCCUGGGUACAAUUACAAAACUAGCUGCUUUGAGGGUAGGGAGGUUGUAAACCAUUUCCUUUAAUUUGCUAAGCCCUUCUAUUUAUUUUACAAU
rfam:Sus scrofa isolate TJ Tabasco breed Duroc chromosome 13, whole genome shotgun sequence.